rnacentral:pre_miRNA from 2 species
GUCACACGUCAUCUUACCAGGCAGGAUUCGAUAGCAAAUGAAUCUAAUACUGUCGGGUAAAGAUGAUGUCUGCC